rnacentral:rRNA from 1 species
GACGAACGCUGGCGGCGUGCUUAACACAUGCAAGUCGAACGGAAAGGCCCUGCUUUUGUGGGGGGCUCGAGUGGCGAACGGGAGAGUAACACGUGAGUAACCGGCCCUUGACUUUGGGAUAACUUCAGGAAACUGGGGCUAAUACCGGAUAGGAGCUCCUGCGGCAGGGGGGGGGUUGGAAAGUUUCGGCGGAUGGGGAUGGACUCGCGGCUUAUCAGCCGGUGGGUGGGGGAGUGGCUUACCAAGGAUUUGACGAGUAGCGGGCGGGAGAGGGUGACCGGCCACCAUGGUGCUGAGGUGAGGCCGAGCCUCCUCCGGGGGGAAGCAGUGGGGAAUAUUGCACCAUGGGCGGCGAAAGGAUGACGCAACGACGCGUGCGGGAUGUAGGCCUUCGGGUUGUAGACAGCUUUCGCCUGUGGAGAAGAGUGAGUGACGGUAAUGGGUAAAGAAGCACCGGCUAACUACGUG